UGGGGAAUUUUGGACAAUGGGCGAAAGCCUGAUCCAGCAAUGCCGCGUGUGUGAAGAAGGCCUUCGGGUUGUAAAGCACUUUUGUCCGGAAAGAAAUCCUUGGCUCUAAUACAGUCGGGGGAUGACGGUACCGGAAGAAUAAGCACCGGCUAACUACGUGCCAGCAGCCGCGGUAAUACGUAGGGUGCAAGCGUUAAUCGGAAUUACUGGGCGUAAAGCGUGCGCAGGCGGUCCGCUAAGACAGAUGUGAAAUCCCCGGGCUUAACCUGGGAACUGCAUUUGUGACUGGCGGGCUAGAGUAUGGCAGAGGGGGGUAGAAUUCCACGUGUAGCAGUGAAAUGCGUAGAGAUGUGGAGGAAUACCGAUGGCGAAGGCAGCCCCCUGGGCCAAUACUGACGCUCAUGCACGAAAGCGUGGGGAGCAAACAGGAUUAGAUACCCUGGUAGUCCACGCCCUAAACGAUGUCAACUAGUUGUCGGGUCUUCAUUGACUUGGUAACGUAGCUAACGCGUGAAGUUGACCGCCUGGGGAGUACGGUCGCAAGA
rnacentral:rRNA from 1 species